rnacentral:rRNA from 1 species
GAACGAACGCUGGCGGCAGGCUUAACACAUGCAAGUCGAACGCCCCGCAAGGGGAGUAGCAGACGGGUGAGUAACGCGUGGGAAUCUACCGUGCCCUGCGGAAUAGCUCCGGGAAACUGGUAUUAAUACCGCAUACGGCCUACGGGGGAAAGAUUUAUCGGGGUAUGAUGAGCCCGCGUUGGAUUAGCUAGUUGGUGGGGUAAAGGCCUACCAAGGCGACCANCCAUAGCUGGUCUGAGNGGAUGAUCAGCCACAUUGGGUCUGAGACACGGCCCAAACUCCUACGGGAGGCAGCAGUGGGGAAUAUUGGACAAUGGGCGCAAGCCUGAUCCAGCCAUGCCGCGUGAGUGAUGAAGGCCUUAGGGUUGUAAAGCUCUUUCACCGGAGAAGAUAAUGAC